rnacentral:rRNA from 2 species
UACGUAGGUGGCAAGCGUUGUCCGGAUUUACUGGGCGUAAAGAGCGCGCAGGCGGUCGUUUAAGUCGAAUGUGAAAGCCCCCGGCUCAACUGGGGAGGGUCAUUCGAUACUGAUCGACUUGAAGGCAGGAGAGGGAAGUGGAAUUCCGGGUGUAGUGGUGAAAUGCGUAGAUAUCCGGAGGAACACCAGUGGCGAAGGCGACUUCCUGGCCUGUUCUUGACGCUGAGGCGCGAAAGCUGGGGGAGCAAACGGG